UGACAGCUCAGUAAUCCUCAGGGGGUGUGAGUCCACGUGUCAUUCUUAUGGGAGUCUGGUCUUGAGUGUCUAGGCGAAGAAUUUGCACUAUAACAGAACCUCAUGAUUCUCAACAUGGUAUGAGAGCCAUAUCCCUUGCGAGCAAGUAAUCCUAUCCGAUCCGCACCUAUACAAACAAAAAUUUUACUUUUUUUUACUAUACACGUAUUUUAAAUAUCUAUUCUAUAUAAAGUGUGCCUAUAUAACAGAAAUUCUUGGUUUAUGAGAAAUUCAUGGGUGACUUUUAAUUUUUAUUUAAUAAAAUAAUAAAAUAUUAUUUAUAUAUAAUAAAAUAAUAAUAAAACAAAUCCUAUUAAUAUUUGAACUGAUAUUAAAUAUUCGAGAAUCACACCCCAUUUAAAAAGAAAACAACGGAGAUUAAUCUCAAAUCCUAUACGAUUGAUUAUGAUGAGAUGGUCUUAUAAAAUUGAAGGCUACCACACCUUUGUUCUCUCGCCUCAUUCUCACCUGCUCCGAUCCAAGCAUCGUCUUUAAGAAAACCCGAUCCUAAUCGUCGCAAGCCUGGUCAGUUAACUGGUAGACUUGCUCUUCGGCUACCACUCCAAUCCGGAGUACAUCGUCAUCUCAACCGGAGAACAGAAUGCGGCUUCAAAUCUUGAAGUUGAGUCAGAUCGUUUACUCUACAAUGAUGUCGUUCGAGUCUCCGAUUCAGUUGAUCGAUUGCAGAUUUUGGACAAUAGCAAUGACAAUAUUUAUAUGGAUUGAAUUUUAAGUCGUGUUGCUUCAACUGCCAGUUACCUACUUCUGAUUUUGAAUAUUCUACAACAACUACAAGGACAUGGAGGAGUAAGAGUAAGACACCUCGUCCAUUUCAAACCAUCUGCUCUUCUCUUCAAAAUGGAGGAGAAAACCAGAACCCACUUCCUCCUGAUCGUGCCAAGUAACUGAAAAUUAAAAUACAAUUUGAGUCCUUCUUCAAUUGUUAUAAUUUAAAUGAACCAUCUAGCAUCAUGUCGAUUGAUCAAUUGUUGGGUAGUUUUUCUGCUGUAGAUGUGGAGGAGGAGUCGAAGAAGUGAUUUUGGUUGAAAGAUAUGGCAAUGGUACUGCUAAGAGCUGUAUAGCACUGUGACUUUACGUCAAGGAGAGAAGAAGCAUUACAAUAAUAAGGUUGAUGUGUACAUGACUUUUGGAAUUGUCCUGUGGGAAUUAUUAACCAACCGUAUGUCAUUUGAAGGAAUUUCAAAUUUACAGGCUGCCUAUGCUGCUGCUUUUAAGGUGCACAAAGUCAUCUAUUUACCUUUUCAUUAUGUAUUCAUUAACAUAUUUGUUUUAUUAGUUCGAAAUAGAAUAUGCUUAUACUGUUCAAUAAUAACAUUUUCUGUCAAUUCUGCAAGGGUAUAUAGUUGAACUCCUUAUGGUCUGGUUCAAUUUCUGUUCUUGAUGACCUAUUUAUUUUGUUUUUUUAGAGAGAGAAGACCUAUUUGUUUUGUUAAUUUAGCUGAUUUGCAGAUUAUAUUUGUUUCCUUUAUUUUUUUUUAAUAUUUAUUAAUUUGUUAGAACAUGGUAUAAUAUUCUGUUUCACUUUGAAGUAUUUUAACAUUUCGUUUAUUUUUUUUUUGUUACACUAAAAAAACUAAGUAUUCCAAGAUUUUUGUUACAAUAAUUUUUUUUUAAUAUUCUUAUAUUUUAAUUAAAAUAAUAUAAAAAAGUUUUCAAAUUUUGAUAUUUGUAGUUAGUUUAUUUUUAAAUUUGAUUUUAAAUUAAACUAGAAUAUUUUAUGUCAAUUUAAAAUUUAUUAAUAACAAAAUAUAAUUAUUAAAUUAUUCAUUGGAAUGGACUAAAAAUCAAUCAGACGCCACUCUAAUAAUUAUUUUACAUGCCAUUCUAAUAGUGGGUAUUCUGUUAAAUCUAUCUCCAUUGCUUGUGAUAUAUAAGAUAUACUACUCUAUUGAUCAUAUCAAUAUUGAUUAAAUCUACUUCCAAUAGUAAGUUUUUUAAUUUUAUUGCUCAUCUCCUCUUUUAAUUAGGAAACAAAUUCGGAAAGAAAAUUAAAUUGGAAGACCAUGCUUGGAAAAUAUCUAAAUCUCAGAGGAAUAUAUAAAAGGGACUCUUAAUAGUUUCUAAUGAAAUAAUGUUAUACAUGUUUAUGAUUAAAUCUUUUCAGUAAUUUUUUUUUUUAGUUUAUUUAAAUAAAUUUCAGUAUUUCUAUUAAGAUAAAGAAAUCUUUUCAAAUGACUUUCUUCUUUAAAAAUUUCAGUAUUUCUUUCUUAGUUUAUUUAAUUAAUUUUUUCUAUUUUCAUAUGAAUUUUCAUUUGUGGAUUUCCA